rnacentral:rRNA from 1 species
AUGAACGCUGGCGGCGUGCCUCAUACAUGCAAGUCGAGCGAACAGAUGAGGAGCUUGCUCCUCUGACGUUAGCGGCGGACGGGUGAGUAACACGUGGAUAACCUACCUAUAAGACUGGGAUAACUUCGGGAAACCGGAGCUAAUACCGGAUAAUAUAUUGAACCGCAUGGUUCAAUAGUGAAAGACGGUUUUGCUGUCACUUAUAGAUGGAUCCGCGCCGCAUUAGCUAGUUGGUAAGGUAACGGCUUACCAAGGCAACGAUGCGUAGCCGACCUGAGAGGGUGAUCGGCCACACUGGAACUGAGACACGGUCCAGACUCCUACGGGAGGCAGCAGUAGGGAAUCUUCCGCAAUGGGCGAAAGCUUGACGGAGCAACGCCGCGUGAGUGAUGAAGGUCUUCGGAUCGUAAAACUCUGUUAUUAGGGAAGAACAAAUGUGUAAGUAACUAUGCACGUCUUGACGGUACCUAAUCAGAAAGCCACGGCUAACUACGUG